rnacentral:rRNA from 1 species
UUGAACGCUGGCGGAAUGCUUUACACAUGCAAGUCGAACGGCAGCACGGGGGCAACCCUGGUGGCGAGUGGCGAACGGGUGAGUAACACAUCGGAACGCGUCCUGUAAUGGGGGAUAACCUGGCGAAAGCCAGGCUAAUACCGCAUACGUCCUGAGGGAGAAAGCGGGGGAUCGCAAGACCUCGCGUUAUAGGAGCGGCCGAUGUCGGAUUAGCUAGUUGGUGGGGUAAAGGCCUACCAAGGCGACGAUCCGUAGCGGGUCUGAGAGGACGGUCCACCACACUGGGACUGAGACACGGCCCAGACUCCUACGGGAGGCAGCAGUGGGGAAUUUUGGACAAUGGGCGCAAGCCUGAUCCAGCCAUGCCGCGUGAGUGAAGAAGGCCUUCGGGUUGUAAAGCUCUUUCGGCCGGGAAGAAAUCGCAUCCGCUAAUACGGGGUGUGGAUGACGGUACCGGAAGAAGAAGCACCGGCUAACUACGU